AGAGUUUGAUCCUGGCUCAGGAUGAACGCUGGCGGCGUGCUUAACACAUGCAAGUCGAACGGGAAACUUUUCAUUGAAGCUUCGGCAGAUUUGGUCUGUUUCUAGUGGCGGACGGGUGAGUAACGCGUGGGUAACCUGCCUUAUACAGGGGGAUAACAACCAGAAAUGGUUGCUAAUACCGCAUAAGCGCACAGGACCGCAUGGUCCGGUGUGAAAAACUCCGGUGGUAUAAGAUGGACCCGCGUUGGAUUAGCUAGUUGGCAGGGUAACGGCCUACCAAGGCGACGAUCCAUAGCCGGCCUGAGAGGGUGAACGGCCACAUUGGGACUGAGACACGGCCCAAACUCCUACGGGAGGCAGCAGUGGGGAAUAUUGCACAAUGGGGGAAACCCUGAUGCAGCGACGCCGCGUGAGCGAUGAAGUAUUUCGGUAUGUAAAGCUCUAUCAGCAGGGAAGAAAAUGACGGUACCUGACUAAGAAGCCCCGGCUAACUACGUGCCAGCAGCCGCGGUAAUACGUAGGGGGCAAGCGUUAUCCGGAUUUACUGGGUGUAAAGGGAGCGUAGACGGCAUGGCAAGCCAGAUGUGAAAGCCCGGGGCUCAACCCCGGGACUGCAUUUGGAACUGUCAGGCUAGAGUGUCGGAGAGGAAAGCGGAAUUCCUAGUGUAGCGGUGAAAUGCGUAGAUAUUAGGAGGAACACCAGUGGCGAAGGCGGCUUUCUGGACGAUGACUGACGUUGAGGCUCGAAAGCGUGGGGAGCAAACAGGAUUAGAUACCCUGGUAGUCCACGCCGUAAACG
rnacentral:rRNA from 1 species